GGCCCCCUACGGGGCGCAGCAGUAGGGAAUUUUCGUCAAUGGGCGCAAGCCUGAACGAGCAAUGCCGCGUGAACGAGGAAGGUCUUCGGAUCGUAAAGUUCUGUUGAAGGGGAAAAAGAGCGGAGAGAGGAAAUGCUUUCUGAUUGAUAUUACCCUUCGAGGAAGUCACGGCUAACUACGUGCCAGCAGCCGCGGUAAUACGUAGGUGCGAGCGUUAUCCGGAUUCAUUGGGCGUAAAGCGCGCGUAGGCGGUCAUGUAAGCGGGACCUCUAAUCUUG
rnacentral:rRNA from 1 species